UACAGAGGGUGCGAGCGUUAAUCGGAAUUACUGGGCGUAAAGCGUGCGUAGACGGCUAUCUAAGUCGGGUGUGAAAGCCCCGGGCUCAACCUGGGAAUUGCAUUCGAGACUGAAUAGCUAGGGUACGGUAGAGGGAAGUGGAAUUUCCGGUGUAGCGGUGAAAUGCGUAGAUAUCGGAAGGAACAUCAGUGGCGAAAGCGACUUCCUUGACCAGUACCGACGUUCAGGCACGAAAGCGUGGGGAGCAAACAGG
rnacentral:rRNA from 1 species